GUGACAUCAGAACGGUGACAUCACAGGCAAGCCCUCCAAACAGAGAUAAGGGAGGAAGACCAGAGCCCUGAGUGGGAAGAUGCGCGGUCCUGUCCUGCCUGAGUCUGUCAGGGGCACCCAGCUGCUCUGCUGUGUGGCCCUCUGUCUCCUGGGGGCAGGUCCAGUGGGUGCUGAAGUCAUCCAGACCCCCCGACACCUAAUCCAAGGCAGGGGGGGGAAGGCUGUUCUGAAAUGCCAUCCUAUCCCUGGGCACCUAAGUGUGAGCUGGUACCAGCAGGCGCCAGGGCAGGGCCUCCGGUUCCUCAUUGAGUAUUACAACCAGGGGCAGAGAGAUAAAGGAGACAUACCGGGACGGUUCUCAGCUCAACAGUUUGGUAACUACAGCUCUCAGCUGGACCUGAGCUCUCUGGAGCUGGGAGACUCAGCCCUGUAUCUCUGCGCAAGCAGUGAAAGCUAUGAUUUUACCUUUGGCCCGGGGACCAAGCUGACAGUUGUCGACAACCUGGAAAGGGUCAAACCUCCCAUGGUCACAGUGUUUGAACCGUCAGAAGCAGAGACCUCCCGCACCCAGAAGGCCACGCUCGUGUGCCUGGCCACGGGCUUCUACCCCGACCACGUGGAGCUGAGCUGGUGGGUGAAUGGGAAGGAGGUCCAGAAUGGGGUCAGCACGGACCCUCAGCCCUACAGGGAGCGGCCCAACGACAAUGGCUCCAACUACUGUCUGAGCAGCCGGCUGAGGGUCUCCUCCGCCUUCUGGCACAACCCUCGCAACCACUUUCGCUGCCAAGUCCAGUUCUACGGGCUUGGGGACGAUGACGAGUGGGACAACCCCACCCGGCCGAAACCCAUCACCCAGAACAUCAGUGCUGAGGCCUGGGGCAGAGCAGACUGUGGCUUCACGUCGGUGUCCUAUCAGCAGGGCAUCCUGUCUGCCACCAUCCUCUAUGAGAUCCUGCUGGGGAAGGCCACCCUGUACGCUCUGCUGGUCAGCAUCCUGGUGCUCAGGGCCAAGGUCAAGAGAAAGGGCUCCUGAAGCUAGCUCAGAGGCAGAGCCAGCAACUUGCAGCCUGCUAUGGCCCCAACACGGAUUCUCCUUUUUCCACUUGCAGCCAGUGCUUCUCAAGAGCUGUUUUCAUCUCUCUGCUCACCCCAAUAGCUACUCCCCCCUAUGUUCGUGCACACCUGGACGCUCAUGACCCAAAUCUCCCCAACCCAGGGGGACCCCAGCAUGACCAACUUGACUGAAUCAAUAAACACGGCUUGUUCUGGCUUGACUCUG